rnacentral:rRNA from 1 species
AGAGUUUGAUCAUGGCUCAGAACGAACGCUGGCGGCGCGCCUAAUACAUGCAAGUCGAGCGAGAAGGUGUAGCAAUACACUUGUAAAGCGGCGAACGGGUGAGGAAUGCAUGGGUAACCUACCCUCGAGUGGGGAAUAACUAGCCGAAAGGUUAGCUAAUACCGCAUACGUUUCCGGAACUUCGGUUUCGGAAAGAAAGCAAUACCGUGGGUAUUGCGCUCCUGGAUGGGCUCAUGUCCUAUCAGCUUGUUGGUGAGGUAACGGCUCACCAAGGCUUCGACGGGUAGCUGGUCUGAGAGGACGAUCAGCCACACUGGCACUGCGACACGGGCCAGACUCCUACGGGAGGCAGCAGUAAGGAAUAUUGCGCAAUGGACGAAAGUCUGACGCAGCGACGCCGCGUGGGGGAUGAAGGUCUUCGGAUUGUAAACCCCUUUCGGGAGGGAAGAUGGAGUGGGUAACCACUUGGACGGUACCUCCAGAAGCAGCCACGGCUAACUUCGUGCCAGCAGCCGCGGUAAUACGAAGGUGGCAAGCGUUGUUCGGAUUCACUGGGCGUACAGGGAGCGUAGGCGGUUGGGUAAGCCCUCCGUGAAAUCUCCGGGCCUAACCCGGAAAGUGCAGAGGGGACUGCUCAGCUAGAGGAUGGGAGAGGAGCGCGGAAUUCCCGGUGUAGCGGUGAAAUGCGUAGAGAUCGGGAGGAAGGCCGGUGGCGAAGGCGGCGCUCUGGAACAUUUCUGACGCUGAGGCUCGAAAGCGUGGGGAGCAAACAGGAUUAGAUACCCUGGUAGUCCACGCCUUAAACUAUGGAUACUAAGUGUCGGCGGUUUACCGCCGGUGCCGCAGCUAACGCAAUAAGUAUCCCGCCUGGGAAGUACGGCCGCAAGGUUGAAACUCAAAGGAAUUGACGGGGGCCCGCACAAGCGGUGGAGCAUGUGGUUUAAUUCGACGCAACGCGAAGAACCUUACCCAGGCUGGACAUGCAGGCAGUAGAAGGGUGAAAGCCUAACGAGGUAGAAAUACCAUCCUGCUCAGGUGCUGCAUGGCUGUCGUCAGCUCGUGCCGUGAGAUGUUGGGUUAAGUCCCGCAACGAGCGCAACCCUCGUCUUUAGUCGCCAUCAUUUAGUUGGGCACUCUAAAGAAACCGCCGGUGAUAAGCCGGAGGAAGGUGGGGAUGACGUCAAGUCCUCAUGGCCCUUACACGCUGGGCUACACACGUGCUACAAUGGCGGUGACAGUGAGCAGCUAGAUCGCGAGAUCAUGCUAAUCUCAAAAAGCCGUCUCAGUUCGGAUUGUUCUCUGCAACUCGAGAGCAUGAAGGCGGAAUCGCUAGUAAUCGCGGAUCAGCAUGCCGCGGUGAAUACGUUCCCAGGCCUUGUACACACCGCCCGUCACACCAUGGGAGUUGGAUUCACCCGAAGGCGCUGCGCUAACCCGCAAGGGAGGCAGGCGACCACGGUGGGUUCAGCGACUGGGGUGAAGUCGUAACAAGGUAGCCGUAGGGGAACCUGCGGCUGGAUCACCUCCUU